AACGAACGCUGGCGGCAGGCUUAACACAUGCAAGUCGAACGCAUCCUUCGGGGUGAGUGGCAGACGGGUGAGUAACGCGUGGGAACGUGCCCUUCAGUUCGGGAUAACCCAGGGAAACUUGGGCUAAUACCGGAUACGUGCGAGAGCAGAAAGAUUUAUCGCUGAAGGAUCGGCCCGCGUAUGAUUAGCCAGUUGGUGGGGUAAUGGCCCACCAAGGGGACGAGCAGUAGCUGGUCUGAGAGGAUGAUCAGCCACAUUGGGACUGAGACACGGCCAAACUCCUACGGGAGGGAGCAGUGGGUAAUAUUGGACAAUGGGCGCAAGCCUGAUCCAGCCAUGCCGCGUGAGUGAUGAAGGCCUUAGGGUUGUAAAGCUCUUUCGUCCGGGACGAUAAUGACGGUACCGGAAGAAGAAGCCCCGGCUAACUUCGUGCCAGCCGCCGCGGUAA
rnacentral:rRNA from 1 species